rnacentral:rRNA from 1 species
UAGGGAAUUUUGCGCAAUGGACGCAAGUCUGACGCAGCAACGCCGCGUGAGUGAUGAAGGUCUUCGGAUUGUAAAGCUCUGUUGAAUGGGAAGAAUAACCCCGUAAUUAAUACGUAUGGGGGAUGACGGUACCAUUCGAGGAAGCCCCGGCUAACUACGUGCCAGCAGCCGCGGUAAUACGUAGGGGGCAAGCGUUGUUCGGAAUCACUGGGCGUAAAGGGAGCGUAGGCGGAUUGGUAAGUUAGGAGUGAAAUCUACAGGCUUAACCUGUACGAUUGCUUUUAAUACUGCCUUUCUUGAGUAUUGGAGAGGAUGAUGGAAUUCCAGGUGUAGCGGUGGAAUGCGUAGAUAUCUGGAGGAACACCAGUUGCGAAGGCGGUCAUCUGGCCAAAUACUGACGCUGAGGCUCGAAAGCUAGGGGAGCAAACAGG